GCGGUGAAAUGCGUAGAUAUCGUUUGGAACGCCAAUGGUGAAAACAGGUCGCUGGGGAUGAGCUGACGCUGAGACACGAAAGCCAGGGGAGCAAACGGGAUUAGAUACCCCGGUAGUCCUGGCCCUAAACGAUGUCCACUAGAUCAUGGUUCCUCUGACGGAUUCAUGGUCGAAGCAAAAGUGCUAAGUGGACCGCCUGGGAAGUACGGUCGCAAGGCUAAAACUCAAAGGAAUUGACGG
rnacentral:rRNA from 1 species